rnacentral:rRNA from 1 species
UACGGGGGGGGGCAAGCGUUGUUCGGAAUUACUGGGCGUAAAGGCUCGUAGGCGGCCAACUAAGUCGGAUGUGAAAUCCCCAGGCUCAACCUGGGAACUGCAUCCGAUACUGGGAUGGCUUGAAUUCGGGAGAGGGAUGCAGAAUUCCAGGUGUAGCGGUGAAAUGCGUAGAUAUCAGGAGGAACACCGAUUGCGGAAGGCAGCUCGCUGGAACGUUACUGACGCUGAGACGCGAAAGCGUGGGGAGCAAACAGG